rnacentral:rRNA from 1 species
CCUACGGGUGGCAGCAGUGGGGAAUAUUGGGCAAUGGGCGCAAGCCUGACCCAGCAACGCCGCGUGAAGGAAGAAGGCUUUCGGGUUGUAAACUUCUUUUGUCAGGGAAGAGUAGAAGACGGUACCUGACGAAUAAGCCACGGCUAACUACGUGCCAGCAGCCGCGGUAAUACGUAGGUGGCAAGCGUUGUCCGGAUGUACUGGGUGUAAAGGGCGUGUAGCCGGGUUGACAAGUCAGAUGUGAAAUCCUGCGGCUUAACCGCAGAACUGCAUUUGAAACUGUUGUUCUUGAGUGCGGGAGGGGCAGGCGGAAUUCCUGGUGUAGCGGUGAAAUGCGUAGAUAUCAGGAGGAACACCGGUGGCGAAGGCGGCCUGCUGGACUGCAACUGACGUUGAGGCCCGAAAGCGUGGGGAGCAAACAGGAUUAGAUACCCCAGUAGUC